CGGGACACGUGGUAUCCUGUCUGAAUAUGGGGGGACCAUCCUCCAAGGCUAAAUACUCCUGACUGACCGAUAGUGAACCAGUACCGUGAGGGAAAGGCGAAAAGAACCCCGGCGAGGGGAGUGAAAAAGAACCUGAAACCGUGUACGUACAAGCAGUGGGAGCACAGAGCAAUCUGUGUGACUGCGUACCUUUUGUAUAAUGGGUCAGCGACUUAUAUUCUGUAGCAAGGUUAACCGAAUAGGGGAGCCGAAGGGAAACCGAGUCUUAACUGGGCGUUAAGUUGCAGGGUAUAGACCCGAAACCCGGUGAUCUAGCCAUGGGCAGGUUGAAGGUUGGGUAACACUAACUGGAGGACCGAACCGACUAAUGUUGAAAAAUUAGCGGAUGACUUGUGGCUGGGGGUGAAAGGCCAAUCAAACCGGGAGAUAGCUGGUUCUCCCCGAAAGCUAUUUAGGUAGCGCCUCGUGAAUUCAUCUCCGGGGGUAGAGCACUGUUUCGGCAAGGGGGUCAUCCCGACUUACCAACCCGAUGCAAACUGCGAAUACCGGAGAAUGUUAUCACGGGAGACACACGGCGGGUGCUAACGUCCGUCGUGAAGAGGGAAACAACCCAGACCGCCAGCUAAGGUCCCAAAGUCAUGGUUAAGUGGGAAACGAUGUGGGAAGGCCCAGACAGCCAGGAUGUUGGCUUAGAAGCAGCCAUCAUUUAAAGAAAGCGUAAUAGCUCACUGGUCGAGUCGGCCUGCGCGGAAGAUGUAACGGGGCUAAACCAUGCACCGAAGCUGCGGCAGCGACACUAUGUGUUGUUGGGUAGGGGAGCGUUCUGUAAGCCUGUGAAGGUGUACUGUGAGGUAUGCUGGAGGUAUCAGAAGUGCGAAUGCUGACAUAAGUAACGAUAAAGCGGGUGAAAAGCCCGCUCGCCGGAAGACCAAGGGUUCCUGUCCAACGUUAAUCGGGGCAGGGUGAGUCGACCCCUAAGGCGAGGCCGAAAGGCGUAGUCGAUGGGAAACAGGUUAAUAUUCCUGUACUUGGUGUUACUGCGAAGGGGGGACGGAGAAGGCUAUGUUGGCCGGGCGACGGUUGUCCCGGUUUAAGCGUGUAGGCUGGUUUUCCAGGCAAAUCCGGAAAAUCAAGGCUGAGGCGUGAUGACGAGGCACUACGGUGCUGAAGCAACAAAUGCCCUGCUUCCAGGAAAAGCCUCUAAGCAUCAGGUAACAUCAAAUCGUACCCCAAACCGACACAGGUGGUCAGGUAGAGAAUACCAAGGCGCUUGAGAGAACUCGGGUGAAGGAACUAGGCAAAAUGGUGCCGUAACUUCGGGAGAAGGCACGCUGAUAUGUAGGUGAAGCGACUUGCUCGUGGAGCUGAAAUCAGUCGAAGAUACCAGCUGGCUGCAACUGUUUAUUAAAAACACAGCACUGUGCAAACACGAAAGUGGACGUAUACGGUGUGACGCCUGCCCGGUGCCGGAAGGUUAAUUGAUGGGGUUAGCGGUAACGCGAAGCUCUUGAUCGAAGCCCCGGUAAACGGCGGCCGUAACUAUAACGGUCCUAAGGUAGCGAAAUUCCUUGUCGGGUAAGUUCCGACCUGCACGAAUGGCGUAAUGAUGGCCAGGCUGUCUCCACCCGAGACUCAGUGAAAUUGAACUCGCUGUGAAGAUGCAGUGUACCCGCGGCAAGACGGAAAGACCCCGUGAACCUUUACUAUAGCUUGACACUGAACAUUGAGCCUUGAUG
rnacentral:rRNA from 1 species